rnacentral:rRNA from 1 species
UACGUAGGGUGCGAGCGUUGUCCGGAAUUAUUGGGCGUAAAGGGCUCGUAGGCGGUUUGUCACGUCAGGAGUGAAAACUCGGGGCUUAACCCCGAGCCUGCUUCUGAUACGGGCAGACUAGAGGUAUGCAGGGGAGAACGGAAUUCCCGGUGUAGUGGUGAAAUGCGUAGAUAUCGGGAGGAACACCAGAGGCGAAGGCGGCUUUCUGGCCUGUAACUGACGCUGAGGCGCGAAGGCUGGGGUAGCGAACAGG